rnacentral:lncRNA from 1 species
AAACUAACUGAGGUUUUGACAGAUGAUUUUGUUGCAGGGGGAGGUACAAAGUAGAUUCGAACCUUGAAGGUGUUGGGAGAGAAUGGGACCAGGAGAGGACAAAUAGUGUCACUUCUCCGGCAGCUGCUAGUAGAAAUGACAAUGUACCUCUUGACUUAUGGAAGCACUCCCUGAAGAGUAGCCAGGCUUUCAUACGAACAGCUUGAAGGGAAUCAGGCCCUAAGUACUAGGCUUCAGCAGAUGCCUGUGUUUUAAAUGUACCCCUUGAUUUUUAUUUGCAGUUUCCAACUUCAGAGCUAAAACAGCAACUACUUUAAUGUUAGUAACUUUGAGUAGAAGCACUUAAGUUCUGCCCCACGCUUGGACAUUGGGUAAAACCAAGCCUUCUUUGCAUAUGUGUUGAGGACAUAUGUGUAUGUAUGUUUGUGAGUGCAAAUGUACAAAAAUAACUGAGAUUAAAAUUUGGACCAGUCUCAAAGGAAGGACAUUCGGUUAUAUUUGCUUUCAAUGAGACAGUAAAAUGUGACUUUUUUUGCAUACUUGACUUUGCAUAUACAAAAAUACUGUAUGAUAAAAUAAUAGUUUUGAAUAAAGUUAAGAAGCUGAAGAGCUGCAUAUCUGAAUGCCAAAGACAGAUGUGUUUGGUACACAAAAAUAAUUGCAGAUGAAAAUAAAAUAGUUUACUUUUUCUGGCAGAGAGGGUUGGAAGGAAUAAAAACAGAUACAUAUUUCCUUCUAUUCUAUAUUCCACUUAAGUUUGUGUGAUUACUUUCAUCUCAACUAAUUUAUGUUUAUCCUUCGUCUCCCGAAUUCCUGAAAGCAUGAUCCACUGCAAUUCCCAGUACUUAGCCCUCCCCUGUUCCAUCUUUGUUUCAGAUAUUACUCUGCCCCUUCCUUUUAAAUAAGUGAAAUAACAGAAUAUUGGUGACUUGGGAGAAGGAAUUUUUUUUUAAGUCUCCAGAAGGUUGUAAAUGUGGAAAUAAAGUACUCUAUCACAGGACUAUAUAUACUUGUAUAUGAAUUUUAAUUUUAGGAGUUGUUAGCUGUUUGGUUUUUUCUUAUUCCAUCCCUACUUAUUUCUCCUUACACAAUCUGAAAUGCUUUGCUUUUCAGUACCAUCUGACAUACAUCAUUUAUUUAAUUUACUCAAGUGCUUGUUUAUUGGCUGUCUGUACCCACAAAAGUAAAGUUACAGUGGCAGCAAUAUUUGUGUUUUCAUGAAAAUAUACAAUGCUGCACCCUCCCUUUCCCCAGCACUAGAAGAGUAUCCACCAAUUGAUGCUCAAUAUUUGCUAAUUGAAUGAAUGAAGGAAUAUCUUAGAUUCACACUUUAUCAUAGGUAAACUGCAGAUGGUAAAAUGAGUUUCACAAGUUAAUUAUGAAAAUUAGAAUAUAGUAUAUUAAAUAUAAAGUGAUGAUAAAGUAUCUUUUGGUGUUCAAAGUUGAUAGUAUUUUUGUUGUUGUUUUUAAAGUAAAAGAAAUAGUCAUAUAGAAGAAACAGAAAGGCCUCUAAUAUAGAGAAGAGAUAGGGUAGAAUAGUUUUAUGGGGAAAGGUAAUGGAACAUAAAGGGAUUUGAUUUUGGAGGAAGGAUUAUUAAUAGACUGGCAACAUAGCUUGUAUGCACAACCCAUACUGUUGUGUACAGUAGAAUUUUCUGUGAGGGUACAAAUAUUCUGUGUCCGUGCUGUUCAGUGCAGUAGCUGUUAAUCCAUCUAUGGCUAUAGAGUGCAUGAAAGGAGAAUAGUACGACUAAGAAACUGAAGUUUUAAUUUUUUUUUUGUUUAAUUUUCAUUUAAACUCACACGGUCACAUGUGGCAGUAGCUAUUUUAUGACAGAGCAGAUCUUGAGCAAUGGCUCCCCAAACUAAAUGGACUUAACGAAGCCUAGCUUAAGAACACCCAUUAAAAUGCAGAUUUUCAUGCUUUACCUCUGAAUUCAUUUGCACUAGACCUGAGGGUGAGGCCCAGGACUCCACAUUUUAAGGAAUCAAUUUUGGAUUAUUUAUGUAGGUUAUCUUUCGAUUUUGCCUCUGUGCCAGUUCCUGGAGGUCUAUUUCUGUCAUUCCCUCUGUCUUUGCUUGUACUGUGUCCCCCAGUCUUUAAAAUAUAUGUCACAUUAAAUGUUACCAGUGGUUUCAUCCCAUCAGUCCAAAAACAAAAAUCAUAUCUAGGAAGCAGAGUUGCUCCCUUCAUUCUCUUUGAAGUUAAUUUUAAGUAAAGGCUGAUUUAUAAUUCCAUUCUCAUCAUUCACCUCUAAAUUUAAUCCUCCUUAUUCUUCCAGAGAGUCAAGGCUUUAUUAUAAGCGGGAUGAAGAAUCCUGGUAGUUUUGCAUCAUUUAGACUAAAUUCGGUAAUGCCCAUUGUUCAGAUAUUUACAAAUGUAUCCCCAAACACCUCUGAAGACAAUAAAAUUUUCAACUCUGUGGGGACUUGAGAGGUCCUACACUUUCAUUUUACUGAUUUAAAAAAAUGAUAACCAAAAAGUCAAGGCUGAAGAGCUAAUCAUUACUGUUUCCUUUUUUCCACAUAUCCAAUCUUUGGAGGCCAAAGGCAAAUGGUCAAAGAUUAAUGAUGAUUAACAUUUAUUGACCACUUCUUUUUCGGAAGAGGAUUAUAUGUGGGAAAUUUAAUGAGUAAAGAGGUUGUUUCCAUCACCUUUGUGAUGUAGUUGCAAUACCCAGGAUAUAUAGGUAUAUCGGUUACUCUGCUUUUGGCUAGAAGGAAAAAAAAAAAUGUCUGAAAACUUGAAAAUGGCUUCUUCAUAAAGGCAGCUUAGGAGUUCCCGUCGUGGCGCAGUGGUUAACGAAUCCGACUAGGAACCAUGAGGUUGCGGGUUCGGUCCCUGCCCUUGCUCAGUGGGUUAAGGAUCCGGCGUUGCCGUGAGCUGUGGUGUAGGUUGCAGACGCGGCUUGGAUCCCGCGUUGCUGUGGCUCUGGCGUAGGCCGGUGGCUACAGCUCCGAUUCGACCCCUAGCCUGGGAACCUCCAUAUGCCGCGGGAGCGGCCCAAGAAAUAGCAACAACAACAACAACAAAAGACAAAAAGACAAAAAAAAAAAAAAAAAAGGCAGCUUAUUAUUUACAAAUUGAGAAGUCUGGAGAGAGACAGUUGCCGCAUCAGUUCAAUGGCUCAGGAAUGCCAUCAAGGUUCCAAUGUUCUGGCUUUGUCUCUAGUAGGCUCUGCAUUUCGAUGGUCUAGUCUCAGUCGUACAAACUCUUGGUGACAGGAUGGUUGCCCCAGAUUCAUAAACAUGUCCUCCAAAGAAAGGAAAGGAAAAAGGUAGACUAUUUCUUAGAGUUAUACCGUUAUUAGGGAAAUAAAUCUUCUACACAAGCCUGCAGCAGACUUUUGUAUGUUUCAUUGGCCAGAUUUUUGAUGCCUGAUGACUCUUAACUGCAGAAGAGAUUAAUAAAUAAAGGGUCCUACCUUUCAGUCUCUGUGAUGGAAUCAAUAUCUUUCAGAAAGGAAAAAAGUGAAGGAAAACAGCCAUGGUUAGGCAAGCAUUUUCUACCAGAAGGGAAUAUGGUCUUGCUACGGAUAUAUUAAAUUUUUACAGGAACUUAAAAGAUGAUUAUGAAGACAUUUCCAUUUUGGAGAUUAGUGUAGAAGACUUUUGACCCAAUGGUUGUCAACUUAGAAAUUCUUUCCUUCCUUAGAGUAUGGAGGAAAUAAAACAACCAUCUGACAAGAAGAAUGAGCAAUAAGACAGAGGAGUCCUGAAGUUAAAUAAAACACAGCUCUAACAUUUUUUUCCCAGAAAAGAUUUUGGGGAGGGAGUAUAGAAUAAAUUGUUUAUAGCUCUCACUCUUAUAUUGAGCUGCCAUUGAAUAAGAUAAAUAGUCUACUAGUGUGUGAUGCAGAGAAACAGUGUGAAUCAAAGCAGGCAAUGUUAUUGCUUUCCAAGGCAGUGGUUUGCCUAAAUGGAGAGUACUAUGUCUGGUAUUUGUCACUAUUUCUUAGAAAGGGUAUAAUUUCUCUUGAAGGACUAUUACACUAAGUCACUUAAUGAUACCAAGCUUCUAAGAUUUAAGAUGUAAAGGAAGAAUGUUAAAAGUUGUGCAUUUGUUCACUGGGAGGUAAAAGGGAGUUUAAAUUCCUAUUUAGCCUUGGCAAUUUCCAUCACUGGCAGAGACUAUUCCUCUCUCAUGUUUUUCUCUUUAUUCAGUGCCAGUCCAUAUUCUGCUGCUACUUCCCUUACUCACCACUUUAACUGCAGCACUUUAUGUGAGGGGCACAAGUGAAGCAAGGAAUCUGUGCUGCUCUGUGAAUCAUCUGUCACAGGAAGGCUUAAAUGCGUGUUUCUUACCUGCCUGGAGGAAAAUGCAGUAAAUGCAUUUUGAGUGAGGGAGAGAAAGUUGUGUGUUCUUAAUAACUGGCAUAUUUAUUACGACUUAAACAGGAAAAUUGCAUAUUUGUGAAUUGAAAACCACAGGUGGAUGGAAUGAUCAGCUUUGUCUACAUGCAGAAUUACAACCAGGGCUAUGAGUAUGUGGUUCAUCAGUAAAACUAGUAGGAUAAAGCAGACACAGAUUAAUCCUCUGGCUGUUCAUCAGUAACUGUAACAACAUGAGAAAAGUGCAUACCACUCUGGGCUUCAUUUUCCUCAUUGCUAAAAUACAGAUACUAAUCAUACACAUCAACAGAGUUUUAAUAAUAUUAAAUGAGCUAAUUACUAUAAAUUCUUUAGUUAGGAUCUGAUAUACAGAAAGCCCCUAUUACAUAUCAGCUGUGAUGCUGACAAUAAUAAUACCAACAAAAUCCAAAUGAGUAGUCAUAAGAUACUCAAAAGAGCAAUUUUCCAAAAAGAAAAAUGAGAACUACAUGAAUGUAUGAAUACAAAUAAAAGACUGAAAUAUAUUAAAAUGAAUUCUGAGGUGCACAGAUAUUGAAAAGUUGGCUUUGAAAGCCACAAAACCCAGUGAAAUUGGUCUUUAUGGAGCCAGGCUAAAUGGCUCUCUGCAUUUUAGCUGGAUUCGCUGCCUUGUGUAAUACUGUGUUAGCCAUUUCUUAACCAUUAAUGAUUAAGAGGUUGGACAUUGCCUCAUGAAUCCACAUGGUUCAAACAAGUUCCAACACUUGGGAGCCCUUUGACCUCAGAAAAAACUGUUUAAAUUCUCUGUGGAUAAGGUUUUCCAUUGCAGGAGUUCCUGCUGGGGUAUUAGGGGAUUGGCGAUCAGUGGCAUCUCUGCAGCAUCAGGACACAGAUUGGAUCCCCAGCUGGCACAGUGGAUUCAAGGAUCUGGUGUUGCUGCAGCUGCAGCAUAGGUCGCAACUGCUACUCAGAUCGAUACCUGGCCUGGAAACUCCAUAGGCCAUGGAGUGGCCAAAAAACAACAAAAAAAGACUUUCCAUUCUGAAUCAGGAGCAAAUUAUAUUAUUUUAUUAGCUAUCCCAUAUGGCUGCUUCUUAGGAUUUCAUGAACUUACUGUGCAAGCACUCAGAAUAGUGCAUGCCAUAUAGUAAGUAUUUAAUAAGAAUUAGCAAUUAUUAGUGGAUGAAAAAGAAAAUUCCAUCAGUUAUAGGAGCAAAAAUGACCUGGAUCCUCACACCGCAUGUUAUAGUUUCAAAUGAACAUUCAAUUCCAGUCAUUUGGGAACAGAACAUGAUCUUAUUCUGCGUACAUUAGAAUUUGGUGCCAAGAAUAAAAGGGGCUUAAAUAAAAUGGAGCUUUUUUAUUUUUCUUCUGAAGAUACAACAUAGUCCAGGAAGUUUCAGAAAGAAGAGAACUCAAAGGGAAAACAAAAGAACAUGUCUUUCAAGCUUGAAGAGAAUCACCUGUCAUAUGACACCUUUAUUGAGUCUUGACAACACUUUUUUUAAAUUCAAAUUCCAUUUUUUUAAUUUUUAAAUGAUUUUUAUUUUUUCCAUUAUAGUUGAUUUACAAUUUAUACUGUAUAGCAAAGUGACACAGUCACACACACACGUAUACAUUCUUUUUCUCACAUUAUCCUCCGUCAUGUUCCAUCAUAAGUGACUAGAUAUAGUCCCUUGUGCUAUACAGCAGGAUCGCAUUGCUUAUCCACUCCAAAUGCAAUAGUUUGCACCUAUUAACCCCAGACUCCCAGUCCAUCCCACUCCCUCCCCCUCCCCCUUGGCAACCACAAGUCUAUUCUCCAAGUCCAUGAGUUUCUUUUCUGUGGAAAGGUUCAUUUGUGCUGUAUAUUAGAUUCCACAUAUAAGUGGUAUCUUAUGGUAUUUGUCCUUAUCUUUCUGACUUACUUCACUCAGGGUGAGAGUCUCUCAUUCCAUCUAUGUUGCUCCAAAUGGCAUUAGUGUGUUCUUUUCUAUGGUAGACCACGUUUUACAUGUAAGAAUUGUUUGGAAAAGCAUUACUACCCCAUUGAUCAUUUUAAAAUAUUGCAGAAAUAUAUGUCUCCUUCCUAAAGUUUUGGAUACCCAAUUACAGUUCUGUUUGCAGAAAUACAAAUUGUGCCUUCACCUCUAAAAACAGUAUGGUUUGUUUUAUCUUCUGUUUGAGAUUCUUCAAGAGCAGGAAGAUGAUACUAUAAUAACCGAAGUAUGUUACAUCUGAAAAAUGAAUAACAACUGUCAUUAUUUUACCACAUUUGCUGUGUUCUUUUUUGACUUAAGACAUCCCAAUGAAAAAUAGCCUUGUUAAAAACAAUAGCUUGCCAACUCCCGCUUUUUAUUUGGCCUGGUGUACAAGUAAUGGAGACUGCAAAAAGAAUGGGCAAUAGUAACUCUAGAAAGGGGAUUU